GGAAUAUGUCCUGGGAGGCAGCUGGGCUUUUAAACUAAACCACUGGCACACUGCUGCUAUUUUACACCUAUACUCGACGUAUAUAUUUUUUUUGUCUCAUAUUUCAGAUUCUGACAAAAUUUCAAGAUGAAAGGAGUUAACCACUGUGCUUACUAGUGCAUAGGAAUCGUAUUUCUACUAUUGGACUAAGCAAUAGAAAUGGAGAAUCUUGCUCAUUAAUGAAUGAGAAAUUGUUUCUAAUAUCAUAAUGCAAUUAUAAUGACGAACAAAUAUUGCUUAAAAGCAUGCAAGAACGUUUCUUCAGGUAUCGUAGGAUGCAAUCACCGUGCCUGGGAUCUGAGGACCAGAAAGAAACUGAUAAAGAUAUUCCAGAGUUGGAUGCAUCACGACAGAGUCUGCAAAAUUGAAACAAUUCAUUAAUCUGACUAUACCAAACCCAUCUUUCUCAGCUGAACAAAUUGCAG
rnacentral:lncRNA from 1 species